ACCGCCUGGGGAGUACGGUCGCAAGAUUAAACUCAAAGGAAUUGACGGGGACCCGCACAAGCGGUGGAUGAUGUGGAUUAAUUCGAUGCAACGCGAAAAACCUUACCUACCCUUGACAUGUACAGAAUGCCGAAGAGAUUUGGCGGUGCUCGCAAGAGAACUGUAACACAGGUGCUGCAUGGCUGUCGUCAGCUCGUGUCGUGAGAUGUUGGGUUAAGUCCCGCAACGAGCGCAACCCUUGUCAUUAGUUGCUACAUUAAGUUGAGCACUCUAAUGAGACUGCCGGUGACAAACCGGAGGAAGGUGGGGAUGACGUCAAGUCCUCAUGGCCCUUAUGGGUAGGGCUUCACACGUCAUACAAUGGUACAUACAGAGGGCCGCCAACCCGCGAGGGGGAGCUAAUCCCAGAAAGUGUAUCGUAGUCCGGAUUGUAGUCUGCAACUCGACUACAUGAAGUUGGAAUCGCUAGUAAUCGCGGAUCAGCAUGUCGCGGUGAAUACGUUCCCGGGUCUUGUACACACCGCCCGUCACACCAUGGGAGCGGGUUUCACCAGAAGUAGGUAGCUUAACCGCAAGGAGGGCGCUUACCACGGUGGGAUUCGUGACUGGGGUGAAGUCGUAACAAGGUAGCCGUA
rnacentral:rRNA from 1 species